rnacentral:lncRNA from 10 species
GCAUACUUCUGCUUGUUCUCUGGCACUUGCUAUCAGUACAAGAAGAAUUUCCUCUGGGUAGUGGCUGCUACUUGUUGUGAGUCUGGGGGAAACACUAUUGGAGGUGACAAGAGUCCAAACUGCAAUGAUGUGCCACAUUCACCCAGCUGCAUCUGAACUGAAGCAGGGCCCCAGCCAAGCCUUGCCUGAGAUCAGCAGACCCUCGAUGACCCACAAAAAUUAUCUGCUUAGGACACAGAAGUCAAUUACACCCAAACCCUGGAUGGAAUCAGAAUCAGAAUCAGCCAUGCAAUGAGGAAGAAGAAAUGUAAGUUGCGGCCUGUGAUUCCAACAGUUCUCUUUCUGGAAUGGCUACCAAGAGAAAGUGUCCUGCAAAUCACAGUGUCCAACAGAAUCAACACUGCUAAACACACUCCCACUGGAGUACGGAGAAAGGGGAUCCACAGAAGAGCCUAAUCCUGAACCACUUCCAUGUAUUUGCCCAUCCAUUUCUCCUCUCUGGCCAAUACUCUUCAUAUUCAAAUUCUACCAGUCCUUCAAAGAUCAGAUUAAGUUCCAAAAUUUCAAAAGCCUUCUCAGCCUACUCUUACAGCUGAAUAGUGCAUACCAACUUCAAUUAAUUAUAAACUCAUGUUUCAUUUUGUAUUAUUUAAUAGAAACAUUGGAAUUUAAUCUUUGUGUUUUUUACAUUUUGUUUUCUCCACUAGAUUACCAACUUGAUGACAUGAACCACUUAUUAGAAUUCUUUUGUAGCUUGUAACUGUAUUAGGCACAGUUUCUUGAAGAAAUUAAGCACAUAUUUACAUGUUUUAAAUAACUUUGUAUUGAUUUGCAUAUGUAUGAAGGAGGUAUGUCAUACUUGGCUUUAGAAAAAAGUCUCGUCUAAUAUUCAAGGAACCAGUCUGUGACCUUUGUUUAUUAUGUAAUUUUUUGAAACACAAUCUAUAUUUACAAUCCUAUUAGCUGUUACUGGAUAUAUAUUUAUGGAAGAAUAUAACACUACUUCUUCUUUAUUACAUACAAUUUGGAUACUCUUCUGCCUUCGCCAUUAACUAUACAUUAAGACAGUUCACAUAACUUUAUUUUUUAUUUUCUGUUUUUUUUUAGAGAUGGAGGUCUAACUAUGUUGCCCAGGCUGGCCUCGAACUCCUGGGCUCAAGUAAUCCUUCACCUCAGUCUCUCAAGUUGCAGGGAUUACUGGCUUGAGCCACUGUGCCUGGCAGUUUACACAACUUUAAUUGCUGGUUUAUGUAUAAAUUUCCUUCUAUAAUCUAGUCAGAAUCUAGUCAACCUACUACUGCAUAAAAAUUUGCUGAAUAUCUCCCAAGAGCUAGCCCUCAUAAAGGGUUUUAAGGCUCUCAAUAAGCUUAAUAUACAGAAAUAAACUGCAUUGGCUGUAUAUUUGCACAAAAGUUGUAAACUUGGCUGCUGCAGAGCAAUUUAUGUACAUACGGUACCUGUUUCUUUGGCUGUCCUUUUUUUGUGUAACAAUUACUAAUAUACAUUCCCUUUUAUCUAAAAAAAUCCCUAUGUACUAAUGAAACCUCUGCCAGAGGAUAUAAGGAACACGAAAAUAGUAUAAGACACAUUUCUUGUGCCUGAUGAAUUUACACCCUUGUCAGGAAGAUAAACAUAUGUAUAAAUUGUACCUACAGAAAAUACAUAAUAUAGUGUGAUCAGACUGAAUGACUUGGUAACUGAGAAAAAUAAAAAUAAACUGAAUAGGAAAAAAUGUCCUAAGCAUUGCAUUUAAAUAUCAUACCUGGAUUAGGACUCAUUUUAUGGGCAUAUAUCAGUGCAAGUAGAGAACAAAGUGAUACAUCUUGUUUAUUUUUAAUAGCCUCAAAUUCUCGAAGAGCUUCUUGAGUUUUACCUGAAAAUCAAGAUUAUGAUAUGAAAAACUGUUCUUAGUGCAAAGCAAGAAUUUAAAACUGAUGGAACAUGUUUAAUGAUUAACACGUACCUUCCAUUAAUGUGCCAUAGGCAUGAUAAAACCUGAAGACUGGAUCACUUCCAUACCUCUUAAUUCCUUCACUGGCAACCAGUAAUACAUGAUGGAAAUAUCUCUCUUGACAAUAGUAAUUAAUCAAAGUCUAAAUGGAAAUAAUGAAAAAAUGUUAUAAAGGAAUUCUGGUGCUCUGAAAUACUCUAAGAAGCAGAUAAUAAUCUAACAUCUAGAAUAAUGUAAAAUUCAGGCAAUGUGACUUUUUUCUUCCAAGUUUCUUAAAAUACUAUUAAUGGCUAGAACUCAAUGCUAAGG